rnacentral:rRNA from 1 species
AUGGACAGCGCGAGAAGCUGCCUCGUGGACGACGUGAGCAGCGGCGCGUCCACGGGCAAGAAGGCGUCUCCGUCCCCGGCCGCGGCGGCGACCAAGCCGCUGCAGCGCGUGGGCAGCGGGGCCAGCGCGGUCAUGGAUGCGCCGGAGCCCGGCGCCGAGGCGGACUCCGGCCGCGUCGGCAAGCUGCCGUCGUCCAAGUACAAGGGCGUGGUGCCGCAGCCCAACGGGCGGUGGGGCGCGCAGAUCUACGAGCGCCACCAGCGCGUCUGGCUCGGCACGUUCACGGGGGAGGCCGAGGCUGCGCGCGCCUACGACGCGGCGGCGCAGCGCUUCCGCGGCCGCGAUGCAGUCACCAACUUCCGCCCGCUCGCCGAGUCCGACCGAGAGGACGCCGCCGAGCUCCGCUUCCUCGCCGCCCGCUCGAAGGCCGAGGUCGUCGACAUGCUGCGCAAGCACACCUACCCCGACGAGCUCGCUCAGUACAAGCACGCCUACUUCGCCGACGCUGCGGCGUCCUCCCCUACAUCGUCGUCGGUGCCUCCCGCCUCGUCGCCAUCUUCGGCGGCCGCGCCCUCGCCGGCGGCGCGGCGCGAGCACCUGUUCGACAAGACGGUCACGCCCAGCGACGUGGGGAAGCUGAACCGGCUGGUGAUACCGAAGCAACACGCCGAGAAGCACUUCCCUCUCCAGCUUCCUUCCGCCGGCGCCGCCGUGUCCGGCGAGUGCAAGGGCAUGCUGCUCAACUUCGACGACGCUGCCGGCAAGGUGUGGAGGUUCCGGUACUCAUACUGGAACAGCAGCCAGAGCUACGUGCUCACCAAGGGGUGGAGCCGCUUCGUCAAGGAGAAGGGCCUGCACGCCGGCGACGCCGUCGGGUUCUACCGCUCCGCCUCCGGGAACAACCAGCUCUUCAUCGAGUGCAAGCUGCGGUCCAAGACCAAGACCACGACGACGACGACCCUCACCAAGGCGACGGCGGCCACCCCGUCGCCGGCACCCGUGGUGAGGACCGUGCGUCUCUUCGGCGUCGACCUUCUCACCGCGCCGGCGCCGAGGCAUGCGCCCGAGCACGAGAACUACGGCAUGACCAAGAGAUCCAGGGACGCCGACGUAGCGGCGCCCACUCCGGUGCACGCGGUCUGGAAGAAGCGGUGCAUGGACUUCGCGCUGACCUAG